rnacentral:rRNA from 1 species
UUCAUCAUCGAUGAGAACGCAGCCAGCUGCGAUAAGUAAUGUGAAUUGCAGAACUCAGCGAAUCAUCGAAUCUUUGAACGCAAAUGGCGCUCCUUGGUCUCCCAAGGAGCAUGUCUGUCUGAGCGUCAUGACAAUACACACGUACCCACAAGGUGCGGCGUUGAGACUCCGUGGCCGGCCAGCUUCACUGUUGGUGCUGCGUGUCUUGAAAUCGAGUGAAAUAACCCGGCUAGCUCUCUCUCUAUCGGGGCAGCGAAAAGUUCAACUUGUGUCUGCCUUGCAUAGCUGAGCAGAGCUUGCCACUUCUGAUUUUGACCUCAGAUCAGGCAAGACUACCCGCUGAAUUUAAGCAUAUCA